rnacentral:lncRNA from 1 species
CCCAGCUAAUCUGUAAAUUUUUUGUAGAAACAAGGUCUCCUUAUGUUGCCCCCGUUGGUGAGAAUACAUUUCUAUUGUUUAAACUACCCAGGUUGUGGUUAUGGCAGCUUUAGCAACGAACACAGGGGGCCGGGCACGGUGGCUCAUGCCUGUAAUCCUAGCACUUUGGGAGGCCAAGUCGGGCGGAUUACUUAAGGUCAGGAAGAGAAAAAGCAAUGGCUGGAGGGUACGAGUCCAGGGCGGUGAGAUAGAAGGGACUGGAAAGCUAGGCAGGGGCAGUUCUUGCAGGACUUGGCAGAGGAGGGGACAGAACUGGAUUUAAUCAGCUUGGAGGCGGUUGUCCCUUGAGCGACAGAAACAGCUGUUAAGAACGUCACCCAGAGCGUUAGAGGGCAGGAAUCUAGGAUGUAUUAGCUGCAGCACAUAAUAAUGACAACGUGAAAUGACCGUGCCCUCUCUGCGCUGCGCCGCCCGGCCCCCGACCUUUUUGGAUGGUCGAUGUCAGCGCCAGCCUUCCGGGGCGCUGGCCUGGGCUCAAGUCAGGCAAUGACCAGGGGCCGGUGAGCUUUCAUUUCACCUCCCCCAAAUCUCCUUUCCCCAAACUCUAGACACCCCCAAAACACACAAUCUAAGUCAAAUAAUCUCUGCAAAUGCAACCUGCAGACAAGUCCCCCAACUCUUCCUGGAAGAGACAGAUUCUGG